rnacentral:misc_RNA from 1 species
UGUGGGAGCGGGCUUGCUCGCGAAUACGGUGUAUCAGUCAACACUUCAGUGGCUGACACACCGAAUUCGCGAGCAAGCCCGCUCCCACA